CAGUCGAACGGACUCAUAUUGAAACCUAGUGAUUUAUGAGUUAGUGGCGCCCUUAAAAGUAACGCGUGGAUAACCUGCCGUAUACCGGGGGACAUCACUUGGAAAUAGGUGCUAAUACCGCAUAAGCGCACGGCUCCGCAUGGGGUAGUGUGAAAAACUCCGGUGGUAUACGAUGGAUCCGCGUCUGAUUAGCUAGUUGGCGGGGUAACGGCCCACCAAGGCAGCGAUCAGUAGCCGGCCUGAGAGGGUGGACGGCCACAUUGGGACUGAGACACGGCCCAAACUCCUACGGGAGGCAGCAGUGGGGAAUAUUGCACAAUGGGGGAAACCCUGAUGCAGCGACGCCGCGUGAGUGAAGAAGUAUCUCGGUACGUAAAGCUCUAUCAGCAGGGAAGAAAAUGACGGUACCUGACUAAGAAGCCCCGGCUAACUACGUGCCAGCAGCCGCGGUAAUACGUAGGGGGCAAGCGUUAUCCGGAUUUACUGGGUGUAAAGGGAGCGUAGACGGCAGCACAAGUCUGGAGUGAAAUCCCGGGGCUUAACCCCGGAACUGCUUUGGAAACUGUGCGGCUGGAGUGCAGGAGGGGUAAGCGGAAUUCCUAGUGUAGCGGUGAAAUGCGUAGAUAUUAGGAGGAACACCGGUGGCGAAGGCGGCUUACUGGACUGUAACUGACGUUGAGGCUCGAAAGCGUGGGGAGCAAACAGGAUUAGAUACCCUGGUAGUCCACGCCGUAAACGAUGAUUACUAGGUGUCGGGGGAUCAAGGUCCUCCGGUGCCGGCGCAAACGCAUUAAGUAAUCCAC
rnacentral:rRNA from 1 species